AUACGUAGGGAGCGAGCGUUGUCCGGAAUUACUGGGUGUAAAGGGAGCGUAGGCGGGAGUGCAAGUCAGAUGUGAAAUACAUGGGCUCAACCCAUGGGCUGCAUUUGAAACUGCAUUUCUUGAGUGAAGUAGAGGUAAGCGGAAUUCCUGGUGUAGAGGUGAAAUGCGUAGAUAUCAGGAGGAACACCGGUGGCGAAGGCGGCUUACUGGGCUUUUACUGACGCUGAGGCUCGAAAGCGUGGGGAGCAAACAGGAUUAGAUACCCUGGUAGUCCACGCUGUAAACGAUGAUUACUAGGUGUGGGGGGACUGACCCCUUCCGUGCCGCAGUUAACACAAUAAGUAAUCCACCUGGGGAGUACGGCCGCAAGGUUGAAACUCAAAUGAAUCGGCGGGG
rnacentral:rRNA from 1 species